rnacentral:rRNA from 1 species
GGCAGGCCUAACACAUGCAAGUCGAACGGUAACAUUUCUAGCUUGCUAGAAGAUGACGAGUGGCGGACGGGUGAGUAAUGCUUGGGAACUUGCCUUUGCGAGGGGGAUAACAGUUGGAAACGACUGCUAAUACCGCAUAAUGUCUUCGGACCAAACGGGGCUUCGGCUCCGGCGCAAAGAGAGGCCCAAGUGAGAUUAGCUAGUUGGUAAGGUAACGGCUUACCAAGGCGACGAUCUCUAGCUGUUCUGAGAGGAAGAUCAGCCACACUGGGACUGAGACACGGCCCAGACUCCUACGGGAGGCAGCAGUGGGGAAUAUUGCACAAUGGGGGAAACCCUGAUGCAGCCAUGCCGCGUGUGUGAAGAAGGCCUUCGGGUUGUAAAGCACUUUCAGUUGUGAGGAAAAGUUAGUAGUUAAUACCUGCUAGCCGUGACGUUAACAACAGAAGAAGCACCGGCUAACUCCGUGCCAGCAGCCGCGGUAAUACGGAGGGUGCGAGCGUUAAUCGGAAUUACUGGGCGUAAAGCGCACGCAGGCGGUUUGUUAAGCUAGAUGUGAAAGCCCCGGGCUCAACCUGGGAUGGUCAUUUAGAACUGGCAGACUAGAGUCUUGGAGAGGGGAGUGGAAUUCCAGGUGUAGCGGUGAAAUGCGUAGAUAUCUGGAGGAACAUCAGUGGCGAAGGCGACUCCCUGGCCAAAGACUGACGCUCAUGUGCGAAAGUGUGGGUAGCGAACAGGAUUAGAUACCCUGGUAGUCCACACCGUAAACGCUGUCUACUAGCUGUGUGUGCCUUUAAGGCGUGCGUAGCGAAGCUAACGCGCUAAGUAGACCGCCUGGGGAGUACGGCCGCAAGGUUAAAACUCAAAUGAAUUGACGGGGGCCCGCACAAGCGGUGGAGCAUGUGGUUUAAUUCGAUGCAACGCGAAGAACCUUACCUACACUUGACAUGCUGAGAAGUUACUAGAGAUAGUUUCGUGCCUUCGGGAACUCAGACACAGGUGCUGCAUGGCUGUCGUCAGCUCGUGUC